AUUGAACGCUGGCGGCAGGCUUAACACAUGCAAGUCGAACGAGUGGCGGACGGGUGAGUAAUGUCUGGGAAACUGCCCGAUGGAGGGGGAUAACUACUGGAAACGGUAGCUAAUACCGCAUACCAUCGGAUGUGCCCAGAUGGGAUUAGCUAGUUGGUGGGGUAAAGGCUCACCUAGGCGACGAUCCCUCGCUGGUCUGAGAGGAAGACCAGCCACACUGGAACUGAGACACGGUCCAUACUCCUACGGGAGGAAGCAGUGGGGAAUAGUGCGCAAUGGGCGCAACCCUGACGCAGCCAUGCCGCGUGAAUGAAGAAGGCCUUCGGGUUGUAAAGUUCUUUCGGUAGCGAGGCGUUAACUACAGAAGAAGCACCGGCUAACUCCGUGCCAGCAGCCGCGGUAAUAC
rnacentral:rRNA from 1 species